rnacentral:rRNA from 1 species
AGCGAACGCUGGCGGCAGGCCUAACACAUGCAAGUCGAACGAACCUUUCGGGGUUAGUGGCGGACGGGUGAGUAACACGUGGGAACGUGCCUUUAGGUUCGGAAUAACUCAGGGAAACUUGUGCUAAUACCGAAUGUGCCCUUCGGGGGAAAGAUUUAUCGCCUUUAGAGCGGCCCGCGUCUGAUUAGCUAGUUGGUUGAGGUAAUGGCUCACCAAGGCGACGAUCAGUAGCUGGUCUGAGAGGAUGAUCAGCCACAUUGGGACUGAGACACGGCCCAAACCCCUACGGGAGGCAGCAGGGGGAAAUCUUGCGAAAUGGGCGAAAGCCUGACGCAGCCUUGCCGGGUGAAUGAUGAAGGUUUUAGGUUUGUAAAAUUUUUUCACCGGGGCCGCUAAUGACGGUACCCGGAGAAGAAGCCCCGGCUACCUUCGU